rnacentral:rRNA from 1 species
AGUAACGGCGAGUGAAGCGGCAACAGCUCAAAUUUGAAAUCUGGCUCUUCUAGGGUCCGAGUUGUAAUUUGUAGAAGAUGCUUCGGGUGUGGCUCCGGUCUAAGUUCCUUGUAACAGGACGUCAUAGAGGGUGAGAAUCCCGUAUGUGACUGGGUGCCUUCGCCUAUGUGAAGCUCUUUCGACGAGUCGAGUUGUUUGGGA